rnacentral:rRNA from 1 species
UACAGAGGUCUCAAGCGUUGUUCGGAUUCAUUGGGCGUAGAGGGUGCGUAGGCGGCGCGGUAAGUCGGGUGUGAAAUCUCGGAGCUUAACUCCGAAACUGCAUUCGAUACUGCCGUGCUUGAGGACUGGAGAGGAGACUGGAAUUUACGGCGUAGCGGUGAAAUGCGUAGAUAUCGUAAGGAAGACCAGUGGCGAAGGCGGGUCUCUGGACAGUUCCUGACGCUGAGGCACGAAGGUCAGGGGAGCAAACGGG